AUUGAACGCUGGCGGCAGGCCUAACACAUGCAAGUCGAGCGGAUGAAGAGAGCUUGCUCUCUGAUUUAGCGGCGGACGGGUGAGUAAUGCCUAGGAAUCUGCCUGGUAGUGGGGGAUAACGUUCCGAAAGGAACGCUAAUACCGCAUACGUCCUACGGGAGAAAGCAGGGGACCUUCGGGCCUUGCGCUAUCAGAUGAGCCUAGGUCGGAUUAGCUAGUUGGGGAGGUAAUGGCUCACCAAGGCGACGAUCCGUAACUGGUCUGAGAGGAUGAUCAGUCACACUGGAACUGAGACACGGUCCAGACUCCUACGGGAGGCAGCAGUGGGGAAUAUUGGACAAUGGGCGAAAGCCUGAUCCAGCCAUGCCGCGUGUGUGAAGAAGGUCUUCGGAUUGUAAAGCACUUUAAGUUGGGAGGAAGGGCAGUAAGUUAAUACCUUGCUGUUUUGACGUUACCGACAGAAUAAGCACCGGCUAACUUCGUGCCAGCCGCCGCCGUAAUAC
rnacentral:rRNA from 1 species